rnacentral:lncRNA from 1 species
UGCGUACGUUCGAGCGGAUCUGCCAGGCUGUCUGGUGAAUAUUUUUCUGGAUCCUGGGUUGGGCCGAGAGUUGGGCCGGACGCUAAGCCUGAGUGGAGAGGAUGGGUCGAGUCCGGCCUUGAGGGUUGGAUGAGCCAGGCUUGUUAUGUGUAUCAGGUGUGUGGGCCUCUACGUCAUGGGUCUUGAGCUGUGGUCAAGCCCCUGGCCCGGGGUGAAGGAAUCCAGCAGUCAUCAAUUGCCCCUUCACCUUCUCGGCAGUUAUUGCUCCAACUGCCGAGGGGGUGAAUACCAAGAACUAGUAUGAUCGCGUCUGUUCGGGUUCAGGUGCCUUAAUAACAUCCUUUCAUCUUUCAGUCGUUGCGCAGCUUCUGAAUUCUAUUUGCUCUUUUCUCUUUCUGUCUUUUUUCUAUUCUUCUUGUCCUCUGCCGCCUUUGCUUUUUUUUUUGUCAUCAUUAUCUGGACAUCUCCUUUCUUU